GGGGGCAUCUGACUAGCUCUACACCCUUUGUGACAUACCUAUAACUGUUGCUUCGGCGGGCAGGGUCUCCGUGACCCUCCCGGCCUCCCGCCCCCGGGCGGGUCGGCGCCCGCCGGAGGAUAACCAAACUCUGAUUUAACGACGUUUCUUCUGAGUGGUACAAGCAAAUAAUCAAAACUUUUAACAACGGAUCUCUUGGUUCUGGCAUCGAUGAAGAACGCAGCGAAAUGCGAUAAGUAAUGUGAAUUGCAGAAUUCAGUGAAUCAUCGAAUCUUUGAACGCACAUUGCGCCCGCCAGCAUUCUGGCGGGCAUGCCUGUUCGAGCGUCAUUUCAACCCUCAAGCUCUGCUUGGUGUUGGGGCCCUACAGCUGAUGUAGGCCCUCAAAGGUAGUGGCGGACCCUCCCGGAGCCUCCUUUGCGUAGUAACUUUACGUCUCGCACUGGGAUCCGGAGGGACUCUUGCCGUAAAACCCCCAAUUUUCCAAAGGUUGACCUCGGAUCAGGUAGGAAUACCCGCUGAACUUAAGCAUAUCAAUAAGCGGAGGAA
rnacentral:rRNA from 1 species